rnacentral:ncRNA from 1 species
AGAUAAGGAUGGAGGAGGUUCUGGUGGCCUUUACAACACAUAUACGGUUAAGGCAUUGCUACCUACUCUGCGGCAUCUAACCAUGUUUUGUU